rnacentral:antisense_RNA from 1 species
UAUUACAAUGUUAUUAGAGCUUUUGAGCUCUUUGCUUAGAUAGAAUGUUUCAUACUUUAGUGAGGAAGGGAACAUUCUAUUGUGGCAUUAUCAGCUG